GUUAGCGGCCCGGUUAAGUACUACUUUCUUUGGGAACUCCGUCCUUGCACUAAUGCAUUCAUGUAUGCAUGUUCUUAACUAAAAACGAUUCGCAACUCUCUUUGCCAACGGCAGGGUUAGAGAGAUUCUCGCCUUUAAGAAGGGGGGACGCCCAGUGUCCACCAACAGGCCUGAUCUGGAGGCGCAUCAGACCCACUGCCGGCGUCACGCUGCGUAAACCUGCUAAAGACAAAAUUAAAAUGACCGCGAAAGCGCACCCUGCACUUAAUGUCUUACACAGAAAUUACUGCAGCCUUACCCGGAAGUGUUUCCGAUGGACAGUCUUGUGUCAGCGGUACAUCCAGAUUCCACCCAGAACAGGGAGCCAGAGUUGGAUGGAAAUGAGCAAAGCUCCACUACAGGAUUGAAGAGAGUAAGAAAACAGUUAUAUCACGCCAUCCAUGGCAAUUGUUCACUUUCCAGCCUUGCAAAGAGCAGGAACUCCACCCAUUCUCUUGUGUGAUAGCAACAGGAGUUCUGGCACGAUGGAUGAAGAAAACUAGAUGUGCAUAACAUUCGUUUUAGCAAGUACAUCUGCUUUAUAGUACAACUACCAUGUUAAACUUCCUUAAAAUAAGAAA